UACGUAGGGGGCAAGCGUUGUCCGGAUUUAUUGGGCGUAAAGAGCGUGUAGGCGGCCAUACAGGUCCGUUGUGAAAACUCGAGGCUCAACCUCGAGACGCCGAUGGAAACCGUAUGGCUAGAGUCCGGAAGAGGAGAGUGGAAUUCCUGGUGUAGCGGUGAAAUGCGUAGAUAUCUGGAGGAACACCGGUGGCGAAGGCGGCAUCCUGGACCGGUAUUGACGCUGAGGCGCGGAAGCUAGGGGAGCAAACGGG
rnacentral:rRNA from 1 species